AUAUGAGAAAACUAAAAG
rnacentral:sRNA from 1 species